rnacentral:rRNA from 1 species
UGAGGAAUAUUGGUCAAUGGACGAAAGUCUGAACCAGCCAUACCGCGUGCAGGAAGACGGCCCUACGGGUUGUAAACUGCUUUUGUUUGCCAAGAAACCCACCUACGUGUAGGUGGCUGACGGUAGCAUUCGAAUAAGGACCGGCUAACUCCGUGCCAGCAGCCGCGGUAAUACGGAGGGUCCAAGCGUUAUCCGGAUUCAUUGGGUUUAAAGGGUUCGUAGGCGGGAGAAUAAGUCAGUGGUGAAAGCCUGUGGCUCAACCAUAGAAUUGCCAUUGAUACUGUUUUUCUUGAAUGCAUUUGAAGUGGGCGGAAUGUGUCGUGUAGCGGUGAAAUGCUUAGAUAUGACACAGAACACCGAUUGCGAAGGCAGCUCACUAAGGUGUGAUUGACGCUGAUGAACGAAAGCGUGGGGAGCGAACAGGAUUAGAUACCCCCGUAGUCC